rnacentral:rRNA from 1 species
UGCAGUCGAACGGCAGCACAGUAAGAGCUUGCUCUUAUGGGUGGCGAGUGGCGGACGGGUGAGGAAUACAUCGGAAUCUACUCUUUCGUGGGGGAUAACGUAGGGAAACUUACGCUAAUACCGCAUACGACCUACGGGUGAAAGCGGAGGACCUUCGGGCUUCGCGCGAUUGAAUGAGCCGAUGUCGGAUUAGCUAGUUGGCGGGGUAAAGGCCCACCAAGGCGACGAUCCGUAGCUGGUCUGAGAGGAUGAUCAGCCACACUGGAACUGAGACACGGUCCAGACUCCUACGGGAGGCAGCAGUGGGGAAUAUUGGACAAUGGGCGCAAGCCUGAUCCAGCCAUGCCGCGUGGGUGAAGAAGGCCUUCGGGUUGUAAAGCCCUUUUGUUGGGAAAGAAAAGCAGUCGGUUAAUACCCGAUUGUUCUGACGGUACCCAAAGAAUAAGCACCGGCUAACUUCGUGCCAGCAGCCGCGGUAAUACGAAGGGUGCAAGCGUUACUCGGAAUUACUGGGCGUAAAGCGUGCGUAGGUGGUGGUUUAAGUCUGUUGUGAAAGCCCUGGGCUCAACCUGGGAAUUGCAGUGGAUACUGGGUCACUAGAGUGUGGUAGAGGGUAGCGGAAUUCCCGGUGUAGCAGUGAAAUGCGUAGAGAUCGGGAGGAACAUCCGUGGCGAAGGCGGCUACCUGGACCAACACUGACACUGAGGCACGAAAGCGU